rnacentral:rRNA from 1 species
UACGAAGGGUGCAAGCGUUACUCGGAAUUACUGGGCGUAAAGCGUGCGUAGGUGGUUCGUUAAGUCGAAUGUGAAAGCCCCCGGCUCAACUGGGGAGGGUCAUUCGAUACUGAUCGACUUGAAGGCAGGAGAGGGAAGUGGAAUUCCGGGUGUAGUGGUGAAAUGCGUAGAUAUCCGGAGGAACACCAGUGGCGAAGGCGACUUCCUGGCCUGUUCUUGACGCUGAGGCGCGAAAGCUGGGGGAGCAAACGGG